GAGGGUAUAGCUCAGUGGUAGAGCACAUGCUUAGCAUGCAUGAGGUCCUGGGUUUAAUCCCCAGUAUCUCCA
rnacentral:tRNA from 1 species